rnacentral:rRNA from 1 species
GACGAACCGUGCGAACGUUGUUCGGAAUCACUGGGCUUAAAGGGCGCGUAGGCGGGCGGUCUCGUCGGGGGUGAAAUCCUGCCGCUCAACGGCAGAACUGCCGUCUGAUGACGGGCCGUCUCGAGGGAGGUAGGGGCCUGUGGAACUUCCGGUGGAGCGGUGAAAUGCGUAGAUAUCGGAAGGAACGCCGGUGGCGAAGCGACGGGCUGGACCUCUUCUGACGCUGACGGCGCGAAAGCCAGGGGAGCGAACGGG